rnacentral:rRNA from 1 species
CUAUCAAGCCUGGCUUGGUAUUGGGCCCUGCCUGUAACACGGCUGGCUUUAAAAUCAGUGGCGGUGCCGCCUGGCUCUAAGCGUAGUAACUUUUCUCGCUAUUGUGCCCGGCGGUUGCUUGCCAACAACCCCUAAUUCAAUAGGUUUGACCUCGGAUCGGGUAGGGAUACCCGCUGAACUUAAGCAUAUCAAUAAGCGGAGGAAAAGAAACCAACAGGGAUUACCUUAGUAACGGCGAGUGAAGCGGUAACAGCUCAAAUUUGGAAUCUGGCUCUUUCAGGGUCCGAGUUGUAAUUUGUAGAAGAUGCUUCGGGUGUGGCUCCGGUCUAAGUUCCUUGGAACAGGACGUCAUAGAGGGUGAGAAUCCCGUACGUGACUGGGUGCCUAUGCUCAUGUGAAGCUCUUUCGACGAGUCGAGUUGUUUGGGAAUGCAGCUCAAAAUGGGUGGUAAAUUUCAUCUAAAGCUAAAUAUUGGCCAGAGACCGAUAGCGCACAAGUAGAGUGAUCGAAAGAUGAAAAGCACUUUGGAAAGAGAGUUAAACAGUACGUGAAAUUGUUGAAAGGGAAGCGCUUGCAACCAGACUUGCACGCUGUCGAUCAUCCGAGGUUUUCCCCGGUGCACUCGAUUGCGUUCAGGCCAGCAUCGGUUUGGGCGGUGGGAUAAAGGCCUUGGGAAUGUAGCUUCUUUCGGGGAGUGUUAUAGCCCUCGGUGCAAUGCCGCCUGCCUGGACCGAGGACCGCGCUUCGGCUAGGAUGCUGGCGUAAUGGUUGUAAGCGACCCGUCUUGAAACACGGACC